UCCGGUUUGUCACCGGCAGUCUCCGAUGAGUCCCCGGCAUAACCCGCUGGCAACAUCGGAUAAGGGUUGCGCUCGUUGCGGGACUUAACCCAACACCUCACGGCACGAGCUGACGACAGCCAUGCACCACCUGUGAUGGUGUCCCGAAGGAAGACCGUGUUUCCACGGCUGUCACCAACAUGUCAAGCCUAGGUAAGGUUCUUCGCGUUGCGUCGAAUUAAACCACAUGCUCCACCGCUUGUGCGGGCCCCCGUCAAUUCCUUUGAGUUUCAACCUUGCGGUCGUACUCCCCAGGCGGCGAACUUAACGCGUUAGCUUCGACACUGAGAGCCUAAUUGCUCCCAACGUCCAGUUCGCAUCGUUUAGGGCGUGGACUAC
rnacentral:misc_RNA from 1 species